AUGGAAACUAGCAUGCUGCAUGGUACCAAACCGCAUAUGAUCUAUAGAUUUUUCUACCCGAAGGUGGUAGAAACCAGCAUUUCGUUCAAAGAUUUUCGCGAUGCACUCCAUUCCGUGUAUGACUGGAGCUCUGCCGAUGUUGUUGAACUGAAAUAUUUCAAUAGUAGCGAGAAAAGAUUUCUCCCACUAACUUGCGAUGAGCAUCUGGGAUUUCUAUUUAGUUUGAAUGAUGACAGACAUUUCGGUAAAAUCCGUAUCCAGGUGCUUCAGCCACGCAAAGAACGAGACAAGGGGAAGAGUGUUCAUACAUCAUCUGUCUCAGAUAAUAGUGAUCGCGCCGGCACUCCUUGUAGGUCGAGACCAAGUAAACCUAGUUGUUCUCAAAGCCACAACAUGUCUGUUGCACUAGUGCUGCUGAUACGUCCAUUUUGCAUCAUGUUCUUAUGUCGAUAUUUAUUGCAUUAUGGACUGUUAUUCCACUUUAUGAUACAAUUCUUAUGUAUUUUCUCUCUUAUUCUGCAAGUUUCACAUAAAGAGGGAGAUUGUCGACAGUUGGAAUUCUGGACCGGAAAGGGCUAUAUCGGAGGAAUUUUUUUUGAACAUCUUCAAAUGAGCUAA
rnacentral:rRNA from 1 species